ACUGCUGAGAAGAAAGGCAAGCUUCUUGAUUCCUUUCCAAAGCCAUCUCUUCCUAAUGAACUUCUUUGGACUCUUUCUUUUGGCCAAGCUCCACGGAGAAGGCAAGGCUUCCCACUGUAUGGAUGAGGAACCGGAAGCCAAAGAAAGGGGAUGCUGGGCUGUGCUCAGUGAUACCCCGAGGAUACCCAAGGGGCCUCAAAGGAGACACAGCCGGCACUGACACAUGUUCUGAGCGCCCCACUUAGCAAAGGAUGAAAGAUGGAGUUGUAACCGCUGGGAGAAACAUGUGGGGGACCUGUCACUGUGUGGAUUUCCCUUCUCAGCUGAAAGGUCUUCAAAGUGCCUGUGAGGAGCAUGCCAAGGAAAAUCAACAGCCAUUCUCCCACCGAAAUGACAGAGCAGGCAUCCUUCUUGCUCUCCUAAUUGAUAUCAUUGUGACUGCUUUUCCAUAAAAUUAUCCCCAGACAGGUUCUCAGAGCUGUCACCAAGCCAUUUGAAAUUUUGCAUGAAGCACGUCUCUGUAUGUGUUGCCUCUCUGCAUGACUUCUUUCUUUUCCUUCUUUGGGCCUGGCUUUUACAAAAUGUCUUUUGUACUCUUCACAGAAGAGAAUAACUUCUGACCUCACUGUCUGCCUGGGUCUGAUCCCUGGGCAUUUCAUUUGGCAAUCCCAGGGUAACAGUCGAAUGAUAAGAUGUAAAGGUUUUAAGAAAUGAGUCUUGGACUUCCCUGAGUCCAGUGAGAAAGGGAUUUUUCUUUGUUUUAAAGUACUCUUUCCUCCUCAGAUGUUUCUUUGGUGGAUUCUUGGAUAUCUGGAGCUCUGCUGAGCUCCCUCCUUCUUGGUUUCCUGCUCCCAACAAAUAAUAAUUAUUAUUUUUUCCAUACAAAGUGACUUUGGGGUUGUCCUUAUCUGAUGCUGAAGUUCCAAAAUGCCCAGUAUGGCACACGCUUGAGAUCUCAGCACUUGGGAGGUGAAGCAGGAGUUCAAGGUACUUAGGAAGCUCAGUACCAGCCUGGGUUAUUUGAGGCCCUGUCUCAAAACAAAAACAAAAACUGAAACAGUUCCCUCCAUAAUGAAUGCAUAGGCGACAAAAGAAUACAGUUCUACAUGGUGGUAUGAUCCACAGAAUAAAAAUAUCAGAUCCUG